GACGAACGCUGGCGGCGUGCCUAAUACAUGCAAGUAGGACGCAGUUGCGAACGGGUGAGUAACGCGUAGGUAACUGCCUAUUAGAGGGGGAUAACUAUUGGAAACGAUAGCUAAUACCGCAUACUAGUAGAUGGACCUGCGUUGUAUUAGCUAGUAGGUAGGGUAAUGGCCUACCUAGGCGACGAUACAUAGCCGACCUGAGGGGGUGAACGGCCAAACUGGGACUGGGAAACGGCCCAGACUCCUACGGGAGGCAGAAGUAGGGAAACUUCGGAAAUGGGGGGAACCCUGAACGAGCAACGCCGCGUGAGUGAAGAAGGUUUUAGGAUCGUAAAGCGCUGUUGGUAAGGAAGCGGUACUUAACCAGAAAGGGACGGCUAACUACGUGCCAGCAGCCGCGGUAAUUC
rnacentral:rRNA from 1 species